GCUGUUUCCAUAUGUGAAUGUUAUAGCCAAUGAGUGUAUACCCCAUUGGCUACCCCAUAAAUGUUAGAGGAGCUCCUUCUGAUUUGGAAGAGCAGCAUAUAGUUAAUUGCUAUGGUAUAAACUUCCCCGCCAUUUGCCACCAGUGGCUGGUUCAAGAUUUAGCAAAAGUGCCUCUGAUUGCCAAGGUUUUCAUUACAUAAAUAAUAUCCUGUUAGGAAGCAGGUCAGACAUCUCAGUCUCAAUGACCAUGACUACAGGGUUAUCAUAUCUCUGCCAAUAGGGGUAGCUGAUAAACCUUUGUGAAAUGUAGGGGGCCACACACCUCAUAAAAGCUACUGGGGCCACAUAAUUGGAUUCACAAUAUUCAAUCCCUCCAGUGAUCAAACUCGUCUCUGUUUAACCCAGAAGAAAGGAUGCCAGGGUACAAGUUCAACUGAAAAGAACAGUAAAGGAAAAACAGAGAGGACUUUUUUUUGGAACCAUAGUUUUUUGUUUGUUUUUUGGUUUUUGGGGUUUUUUUAAGGACCACACUCAUGGUAUAUGUAAGUUCCCAGGCUAGGUGUAAAAUCAGAACUGCAGCUGCCGGCCUACAUCACAUCCAUGCCAACACCAGAUGUGAGCCGUAUCUGUGACCUACACCACAAUAAUUCCAUACUGGCAGGAGGUUUCAAGGCUAAGUAAGUAUUACUAUUUUUACUAGAACAAAAUCUUUAAUAUGACACUGAAUGAAAUUAAUAAUAAAGGAAGGUAAGAUGUUAACUUUAGUGAUUCUGAGACAAGAUCAGGAUAAUGAGUAUAUUCUCAGAGAGGAAAUAGCAAGCACGGAUUGAGAUUUUAAUUACCUCAACAUGUAAGCCUAGUGCCGCUUUCAAAAAUAAUCUUUCCUGAAAUGUUCAGAGAGUUCUUAACUCUCUUUAUUUGGGGUGAGAGGUGAAAAGGUUUGGCAUGGACUCUCUUCCCAGAAAAAUUCACAUAAUAAGAUAAUAAGAAAGAUUCACAUAAUAUGUUCAAAGGGGAUAAGAGGAGGGAUGGACUAGGGGUUCAGGACUGGCAUAUGCACACUGUGGUACAUGGAAUGACUGGCCAGUGGGGACCUGCUGUAUAACACAGGGGACUCUAAUAUUCUGUGAUCAUCUAUACGGGAAAAGAAUCUGAAAAAGAAUGGAUGUGUAUACACAUAUAACUGAAUUACUUUGUUGCACGACAGAAAUUAUCACAAGGUUGUAAAUCAACUAUGCCUCAAUAAAACUUUAACAAUGAGAAAAUAAACAAGAAUAUUCUCCAACGUAGUCGCAAUACUAUUGUCAUACCCAAGAAAUCUACCAUUGAUUCAAUAAUAUUAUCUAAUAUACAAAAAAGUAAGUAAAUGCAUGGAUACAGAUUUUUUUUAAAAAAAGAAAUGAUUAUGUUCCAGGCAGUGCACUAUAUGUUAGAUACUCAAUGAAUCAUUUAAGCACCACAAUAAUUCUAUCAGAUAGGUAAAGACAUGGUAAUACAGAUAAGAAACUUGUCAAAGGUCACAUCCUAAUAAGUAGCAGAGGUGGGAUUUAACCUAAGAAGCAUGGCUCCAGAAUCUACUUGAUAGUCUGUUCUACUCUGGUAUCUUGUAGUAUCUUCUACUCAUAUAAACAUUAGUAAAUAAAAAAAAUUGUCUAUACAAUUUCAAAAGAUUUCCCUCAACUCUUGAAGUCACAAUUAAAAAUAUUUAUUCUAGGGAGUUCCCAUCAUGGUGCAGCAGUAGUGAACCCAAUCAGUAUCCAUGAGGACGCAGGUUCAAUCCCUGGCUCUGCUCAGGGUGUAGGGUAUCCAGCAUUGCUGUGAGCUGUGGUGUAGGUCAUAGACACGGCUGAGAUCCCACACUGCUGUGGCUGUGGUGUAGGCUAACAGCUGUAGCUCCGAUUUGACCGCUAGCCCGGGAACUUCCAUAUGCCACAGGUGCGAACCUAAAAAGAAAAAAAAAUAAAUACUCUAGAAGUUGUUUGGCAACAUUUGCUAUUUGUUGCUUUAGAAUUUUUGAAGAACAUGAUGCCAUAAUCGGAAUCCUGUUCUAAGAGAAAGAACAAGGGGAAAAAGCUGAACAGACUGAUUAUUCACAUUCUGUUUCUAAUAUAGAAAAUUAUCUAGAUGAAUGGGGUCAUUUCUCCUUAAGAAGCAAAUCCUCAGACUUUCUAGCUACUAUUUAUUUCUCCUAUAUUAAAAAAUUUUAAUAUGCUAUCAAAAAUUUUUACAUCUCUAUCAAUUUUUUUUGCAACAUUUUCAACCUUUAGAUCAAAUGACUUUUUUUUCCCCUUACCUUCAUACAUCAUCCAGCAGAGAAAUUUCUAUUGUUCAGAGCAAUGCUAAUAUAAUGGUCAUUUUCAUCUUCUAGUAAUGUCACGUGAGCUGGUCAAAGCAUGCUGGGAAUAUCUUAGUGGUAGAAUGAGUUUUUUGCCACAUUAAAUCUUUACUAUAGUUUCACUUAAUACUUUCAGAAUAAAAAAAUACACAUUGCCCACAAACAACUAGACUCAUGCUAAUUGCCACCUAACUUCAUCUUAUAACACUCUCCCCUUUACCCUCAUACUUUGGCCAAGAUGGCCUUACUUACUUCCUAAAAUAUACCAACUGCAUUUCCUGCCCCUAGGCUGUCUACUUGGUCUAUCUCUCCAGCAACUCUUCCUUCUCAUUGUCCAGAACUCAGCUCAAAUGUCACCUCUCCAGAGAAGACUUUCUCUUAUAUAUAUAAGAACAUAAGACUAAGGGGACUUCGCCUAUCUCAUGAACUUCCUGUCACCUAUGCAUAGAAUAGAGGCAGGUACAUAGUAUUUGUCAAAUAAACAAAUAAUCUCCCUUCUUUGCCAGAUCCCAUCCAGCUCCAAACCUAAGCUGUCCAGAUGGGCAGCUCAGGAGUCAUAAGAGGAUAAAUACUAAAUAAAUCAAUAAUAAUAUAAUUAAUUCAUUAGUAAUAAUAAAAUUAAACAAAAAUAAUCAACAUUCUAUAUCUCUUUUUGCCACUUUCAAACAUUUCUGAAAGUUAGAACAUGUCAGUGUUACUUAAACUUUCUCCUUUAUUUCUGUUCAUUGAAAAAAUCAUUAAGACAUAUCCAAUGUCACCUAAUGAUCUUAUUUUAUUGUCCAAAGCAAAAAAAAUGUUUGUGUUUACAAACAAUUUGAAUGCUCAAGGCAUAUCAAUUAGGCAUCUUUUUUUCCCCUAAAGAACAGAUUUUCCUCAGACAUAAUUUUUUAAAGACAGCUAAAGAAUUCUCCAUAGAUAUGAGAAUAGUAAAAUAUAAAUAUUAGAUUUGUGUUCAUCACAGCGAGCUGGGGGAUAAAAGAUUGCAUGUGGUUUGAUCACUGGGGCCCACACAGAACUGAAAGUGAAUAUUUCAUCACACUUGCCUUAUCUUCAUAACCUGAGACAUGAUGGAGAACUGAAAAGUCAAUGGGUGGAGCACAAAAUUUCACUCACAUGUUCUUGGAUGCAAGAAUACAUUUUUUAAAACAGAGUGUGCAAACGUCCCUUUCCAUUUUGCAACUGGUCAAUUUCCAUAAUUAUCUUAUCCUGUUUUAUUUCAAACAGUGGUCUCUCAGCCUAAUGCAUCAGCAUCCAACUGCAAGUUGACAGAGUAUAUAUAAUGACUCUUGAAAUGGCUCUCAAGAAAAAUUCUGUCAUCCUAUAAUCAUUUUAUUCAUGCUGAAGGCAUCCUACUGUCUUUGGGGAAUAUUCAAAUUUGUGAAACAUGCAAAAAAAGACUGGAGUGACACUUUUGAGAAGCUACUACUCAGAGAACAAUUACUGAUUACAUCAUUUAUCCUGAUGGUAAAUAACAAAGGAUUUUACCUUUUUUACAAAAAAAUUUAAUGAAACAAGGUGUUUUCCUAGUACUCCUAGCCUAGUUAAUCUAUCAAAAUAGGAGUUUGAAAAGAGUUGAUUUGUUUGGAUAAUUUAUGUUUUUACAAAUUACAGCAAGAGUUUGUAAAUUUUCAGUUUUAAUAUUCUAAAAAUCCAUUUAUAACUUUCACUUAUGUUGCUAUUUAAUAUUCUAUAAUGAUGCCUUCAUAUUAUAAACAUCUCGGGAAUCAUUAGAGUAGAUAUGCAAUUAUAAAAAUCUGCACUAAUUAAUCUCACGCUAAUUCAAUCUUAGAUUUCUAUCAUCAACCUUUUGUUUCCAUUCCCCACUUGCUUUACUUCCUGAAGCCUUGGGUGGCAUAUCUCUAUACACAUUAUAAAGUCAGUAAAACAUUUUCAACAAAUUAAUAAUGUGAUGACUAACCAAACUGGACUUUGAUAGGGUUCUCCUCGGUUUACCUUCAGGGCCAAGAGCAUUGGGGAAAAAAGUUGAAAAUGAUGAUCUUUAAAACCAAUGUAUGUUAGAGAGUCACAAAGGCUCUACCACAAUCAGAAGAGAAAAUAAUAGCGAUGCCUUGCAUUUAUGCAGCUUGUUACAAUUUACAAAGCCUUUGCAAUCCAUUUUCUCAUCUAAAUAUCACUACAGUCCCAUGCAAUAGGCUACGACAUGUAUUACUAUCCUUUUUUAAAAGAUGGAGAUACUGCAGUAUGGAGCAUAUACUCUGUGAAAAGCCACACAACUUGGAAAAUUGUGAAGCCUGCGCUAAGAUCCAAAAGUUCACUUUCUUAUACCAAGUGCAGUUUCCAUCAAAUAAUCCUGGUCUCCAAUUAUGUAACAUUUUUUUUUACUUAUAAUUUUAACAAAUUAAUGCCAAUAAGCAACUUAUUUUCUAUGUCACUUAAAGUCAAUACAUAACCAAAUAUACCAGGAACCUAGUUGUUAGAGUGAUUAUUUUAGUUUUAAUAGUUUGCAGUGUAGUUGCUUAUUAAUUUGAUGUUACGUAUAACACAGUGGUUUGAAAUGAUCUUUUAAAAUCUUCAACUUUUGGGGAUAUUCAGCCUUUACAAAUGUAUUGAUUCAAAGUGAUCAGAUUUUUUAAAUAUUGCUUAAUUUAUCUACAUUUAUUGCAACAGAGAUAACAUUCAAACUGCAAAAUAUAAUGUACUAGAUAAAAUAUCUUUUUAAAACCUCUUAACGGGAUCCUAUUGAGACUGGCAUAUAAUUGAAAACACUUAGCAGAAUAUUUCAGGGAAUGUUGC
rnacentral:lncRNA from 1 species